AUAUAAAAUGCCUAGAUAGGUAGAUUAGUUUUUGCUUCACCCCUUGCCAUGUUUAACAACAUUUAAUAUUGUCGUGUUCCUAAACGGGAGUGAACUAAAUAAUUUAACACGAAGUUCCGUCAAUAUGCAACUCAUUGCAUAUUGAGCUUCACUUAAUGUGUAGCGUUUAACUGUGUGAAUUGCCAUGCCAUGCCUUGUAUAACUAAACUGAUUGUGCAUCAUAUUAGGUCGUGCAUCAUGUCGUACAUGUGCCAUGGUGAAUAUCAUGUGUUGAUUCUUGUUCCUGGUUUGCUUCGUCUCGAUAGAGUUCCUCAAGUAUGUCGGAAUGUGAGGAUCCGUUCGACUACGUCGGUUCGUCUGCUCCAUGGAGUCGUUCUUCUUCCAAGAGGGAUCUCAUGCAAGAUGAUCAUUUUCCUAGAUAACAUUACUAUCAUUGACAUGCUAGUUAUAUCGUUUCUACCGUUAUGUCUCGCUGCCUAGCACCUGUUGAAUAUCAGCCUCCCAAUAUUGCCAUGAAAUCCUCUAAUCUUUCCCCUACCCAGCAAACCUUGUUUGGCUAUGUUACCGCUUGCUCGAACUUUUGUUAACGUUGCUAGUUGCAGGUUAAGUUGCUUCCAUAUGAAAACACAUGUUCAUUGUUAUAUCACGAUAUUAUUGCUAACUAAUUUAAUGCACCUAUAUACUUGGUAGAAGGUGGAAGGCUUGGCCUUCUAGCCUGGUGUUUUUUUUCAUCUUUGCCGCCUUAGUUUUGGCUACCGGUGUUAUGUUCCAUAAAUGAGUGCUCCUAACAUGCUUGGGGUUGUUAUGGGGACCCCCUAGAUUCUUGUUUUGGGAUAAAGCUCAUUUGGCAAGGCCUAACAUUGAUACUAUAUUUGCCAACAUAAUAAUUCUAUUAAUCCUGAAAAACAUAGUGCAUCAUGAACCCAGGAGUAAUUCAACAUAAUACUAGGAGGGCCAGUGCUGGUCCAAAACAUAGCACUGUGCGGGGCCAACCCAGGGCAAUUUGGGUGAUUUCUAUCACGCCACCAUACACAUGCUUAUCCGCCGUGUCUUGAGAACUGGAUACGCGGCUCCUAUCGGGAUCGUCGACACACCGGGCGGCCUUGCUUGACUUGUUUUACCUUUCUCGAGCGUCUUGUGCAAGGGAUUUCAAGGACACUUUGGGCUAUCUCGAGGUUGAGUUUUUCCAAUAGGAACCCGAGGAGAUCACGAAUUUUACUUGAUCGAGGUCAUUCCGUCCCAGCAUGUGGUAGUUUGUGAUGGACUAGUUGGACCACCCCUAUGGGGUUAAAUCUUUCGGAAAGUCAUGCUCACGGUUAUGUGGCAACAUGGAAACUUUGUUUAACAUCCGGUUCUAGAUAACUUCAAGUAAGCUUAAUUAAAAUACGCCAACUGAGUUCAUAACUGUGACUGUUUCUUUCAUGAGCUCCUUCUCCGGAAGAGGACACCGUGGGGUUAUGUCUGACCUAAGUAGGUGUUCAGGAUCAUUCAGUUGAUCAUAAGUAGCUCACGUCCGCUAUGCGUAGAUCAUCCCCCUCUUUUAUUCUUGUACUCGUAAGUUAGCCUCCUCAAAUAAUCGAAUACUACACCUUAAGUGAAGCUCAAUAUGCAACAAGUAAUAUAUUGACGAAACUCCACAUGCAUAUGUUUAGUUCACUCCCGCUUAGGUACUCAUCAAUUUUAAAUGUUGUUUAAAUAAGCAAGAGGUCAAGCGUAAAUACACUACACUAGCUAGGCAUUUUACAUGGGUCGGAAACAACUUAUAUGAUUUUUGAAACGACCUCAUAUGUUAAUUUCAAAAUUAGUCCAGAUAUGUAUUAAACAUAUUUUAUAUUGAUUAAACAGCAAAAUAAAGUGGACCAUGUGAUUCUACACAUCAUUCUAGUCGGUUUACAUAAAUAAAAUAUUUAAAAUGGAGCUACGGUCUAAAAGACAUGACCAACACAAGAUGAUAUGUCAUGAAUACCAAAUGUAUGCAAAUGACAGCCACAAGCAUGUUAAUCAUGUGUUCAACAAGAUAUUAUGGAACUACAUGAUAUUCUACACAAGGUUAUAUGAGGUCGGAACAACAAAUAACAAUUCCAGAAAGUCUCGAUAUGUAAUUUUUGAAUUUGCUACAGAUCUGCCUAAAACAUAAUUUUAGAGCUGUUAAACAGCAAAUUAAAUGUUUCCAUGAUAUUCUACACAUUUUUCUAGCCAAGUUGCAUAUAUAAAAUAUUUUAAUUGAAGCUACGGUUAAUUAAUUAUGAAAUAAACCAUUUUAACAUAGCAU
rnacentral:lncRNA from 1 species